rnacentral:rRNA from 1 species
CCUACGGGACGCAGCAGUGAGGAAUAUUGGUCAAUGGGCGGGAGCCUGAACCAGCCAAGUCGCGUGAGGGAAGACGGUCCUAUGGAUUGUAAACCUCUUUAGGCGGGGAGCAAUGCCGGGCACGCGUGCCCGGAGGGAGAGUACCCGCAGAAUAAGCAUCGGCUAACUCCGUGCCAGCAGCCGCGGUAAUACGUAUGGAGCAGGCGUUAUCCGGAUUUACUGGGUGUAAAGGGAGCGUAGGCGGCCCUGUAAGUCUGAUGUGAAAAUUUGGGGCUCAACCCCAAACGUGCAUUGGAAACUGCAGG